AUGAUUUUUAUUUCACUCAUAAGAAUAUUUAUUGAAUUUUGUCAAGAGAGCUGGCUGUAAAUAAUAAAAAUACAAAUAUUUCAGUAAAAUUUUAGUAAAAUCUAAAUUUUAAGUGCAAUUAAGGAACGAUUAUUAGCAAAUUGUAUGCAAAUUCUGAAUCACAUUUCAGAAACACUUCUCGUUGGAUUAAUUUAAGUUAACUUAGACGAAGAAAGCAACAAUUGCUGAUCAGCUGACAUGAAAUCGAUUGGACUGCAGCUUAAAGAUAAGCGAUUUAAUAAUACCACUGUGCUCGAAUUGCUGCGCGAACACAUUUGGGGCUGCAAGCGUGGACAGUUUGCUGAGAAGGAACGUAAAAUGCUUCUAAAAUGGUACAGACUAUUGGAGCGGCAGGAAAUUAAACUCGAGAAGACUAUCUACAAUAUGGAACGGGAAAUACAUAACUUGGAGAAUGGUUAACGUAACAGUAUUGUUAUCGUAAUUUUAUUUUUUAUGUAUUACAAAGUGUUAGUUCCUAAUGUGUGUUUUGUUUUAAAUUAUUUGUGUGCUAAUAAAAUUAUAAGGUAUA